rnacentral:rRNA from 1 species
GACGAACGCUGGCGGCGUGCCUAAUACAUGCAAGUAGAACGCUGAAGAGAGGAGCUUGCUCUUCUUGGAUGAGUUGCGAACGGGUGAGUAACGCGUAGGUAACCUGCCUUGUAGCGGGGGAUAACUAUUGGAAACGAUAGCUAAUACCGCAUAACAAUGGAUGACACAUGUCAUUUAUUUGAAAGGGGCAAUUGCUCCACUACAAGAUGGACCUGCGUUUUAUUAGCUAGUAGGUAAGGUAAUGGCUCACCUAGGCAACAAUACAUAGCCGACCUGAGAGGGUGAUCGGCCACACGGGAACUGAGACACGGCCCAGACUCCUACGGGAGGCAGCAGUAGGGAAUCUUCGGCAAUGGGGGAAAGCCUGACGGAGCAACGCCGCGGGAGUGAAGAAGGUCUUCGGAUCGUAAAACUCUGUUAUAAGGGAAGAACAUAUGUGUAAGUAAAAGUGCACAUCUUGACGGUAACUAAUCAGAAAGGGACGGCUAACUACGUG